GAGGCGGUGGAGAACGUGAGUGUUACGAGCAGAAGAGGGCCGGGAGCGGCCGCUUUCGGGCGGACGAUGCUGCCCGCAGACUCAUAAUCCGUCGGCCGUGGGUUCGAGUCCCACCCGCCUCA
rnacentral:tRNA from 1 species